rnacentral:lncRNA from 1 species
CCCGCUCGCGCCUCUCCCUCCAUACCUCCCUGCAAGCUGAGGGAGUGGGCUCCGGCCUUGGCCAGCUCAGAAAGGGGCUCCCACAGUGCAGCGGCGGGCUGAAGGGCUCCUCAAGUGCCGCCAAAGUGGGAGCCCAGGCAGAGGAGGCGCAGAGAGCUAGCGAGGGCUGUGAGGACUGCCAGCACGCUGUCACCUCUCAGUGUCCAGGAAGGAAAUAAUCUGGAGAGAAAGUGAGGCAUUUAUUGCAGGGCACCAAGCAAGGAGAAUUGUGCAGUUCAUCCUGAAGACCCAAACUCCCUGAAGUCUUACAUGAUAUUCCAGACUUGUGCUUCCCUUGCCCCAGUCUUGGAAUCACCCAUUUUGAGCAUUUCGUGGGCUUAUUGGAGAUAUCCUCAAAUUGCUCAUCAUCACUUACCUACUGCACUCUACAAUUAGUCUAUAUGCUCUCUCAGAAAUAUGCAGUCUUCAUCCCUCCUUAUCUGGUAAGGAAAACAGACUCCUUUUAAAGUAUGAUUGCAUGCCAUUAAAAAUCUAUUGGACUGAGUUAUAUUCUGAGGAAUAGGAGAUGACAGCUUCCCA